rnacentral:misc_RNA from 1 species
GAUGAAGGAACGUAGCGAAAUGCGAUAAGUAAUGUGAAUUGCAGAAUUCAGUGAAUCAUCGAAUCUUUGAACGCACAUUGCGCCCGCCAGUAUUCUGGCGGGCAUGCCUGUUCGAGCGUCAUUACAACCCUCAGGCCCCCGGGCCUGGCGUUGGGGAUCGGCGGAAGCCCCCUGCGGGCACAACGCCGUCCCCCAAAUACAGUGGCGGUCCCGCCGCAGCUUCCAUUGCGUAGUAGCUAACACCUCGCAACUGGAGAGCGGCGCGGCCACGCCGUAAAACACCCAACUUCUGAAUGUUGACCUCGAAUCAGGUAGGAAUACCCGCUGAACUUAAGCAUAUCAAUAAGCGGAGGA